UGUGAUAUAUAAAGUCCAGUACAUACCUUUCAAUACAAUCUGGGAGCGUCUUUCUAAAAUUCAGGAUUGAGUUUCAUUUAGCUCCUAACGGUCGGUAUAUUUUAUGCCAGAUGAAUCAAACGGAUAUAAUGGGUGUAUUCAAACUGCUGCUAAUCCUGAUGAUGUCCGUGCACGUUAAAGGUAUGGUCGCGCGAUCACGUCAAAUCCAAAGAUUGUUUUUGGAACUCUUCACUCCGUCAA
rnacentral:lncRNA from 1 species